UAUGUUUAUGCAAUAAAUGUUUGUUUGUGAUCACGUGAACAUUUGUUUAACAAAUAUCAAAACAUUUUUAAAGUUACUUUUCAGACCACAAAAUCUUAACACUUGCUGAAUUAAAACUAAUUUGACUUGCAUUUAAUAUCGAGGAUAUAAACUUGGUUUUAUAUCAUUUUCCGGCGACAACAGACCUGACUUGUAAGCACUAAGAAUUAUUCUUAAAAAGAAAUAUGUACAAAAGAACAAUCUUCAUAUUCUAUGUAUUCCUGGUCGCCAUGACGACUUUAGCGCUGUGUCUGGACCAUAAGCCGGAAAUGGAACCUUUGAGAAAGGAUGAGCAGCAAGCACUUAAACCAUCCCGACAACGACGCUGGCUACAUCGUCGAUGCUCUCGUGGUGGAGGUUUCUGCAGAAUCAGAUGUUCCAGGUUUGAAUAUAAUGUUAGCGGAAAUAUCGACUGCUAUUUUGGCUACAACUGCUGCAAAAGAAUAGUUUCACAUUAAAGGACGCCAUUAAAUAAAUUUUACUUUUCACUUAAUUCAACAGAUACUCUACUAUUAAAGGUCCUUUAUACUUCUUAACAAAUUCGCUAUUUGAAUUAUAAUAUUAUGUAAUUGCACAGAAUAAUAAAAUAAAUUUGGAAAGUUUCCAUUUUAUCAAAUGUUGUUUCAAAUGACAUUCAAGUAACUUUAGUUUCGCAAUAAAAAGACUAUUAUCAGAAAAA